rnacentral:rRNA from 1 species
GGGUGAGUAACACGUGGGUAACCUGCCCAAGAGACUGGGAUAACACCUGGAAACAGAUGCUAAUACCGGAUAACAACACUAGACGCAUGUCUAGAGUUUGAAAGAUGGUUCUGCUAUCACUCUUGGAUGGACCUGCGGUGCAUUAGCUAGUUGGUAAGGUAACGGCUUACCAAGGCAAUGAUGCAUAGCCGAGUUGAGAGACUGAUCGGCCACAUUGGGACUGAGACACGGCCCAAACUCCUACGGGAGGCAGCAGUAGGGAAUCUUCCACAAUGGACGAAAGUCUGAUGGAGCAACGCCGCGUGAGUGAAGAAGGGUUUCGGCUCGUAAAGCUCUGUUGGUAGUGAAGAAAGAUAGAGGUAGUAACUGGCCUUUAUUUGACGGUAAUUACUUAGAAAGUCACGGCUAACUACGUGCCAGCAGCCGCGGUAAUACGUAGGUGGCAAGCGUUGUCCGGAUUUAUUGGGCGUAAAGCGAGUGCAGGCGGUUCAAUAAGUCUGAUGUGAAAGCCUUCGGCUCAACCGGAGAAUUGCAUCAGAAACUGUUGAACUUGAGUGCAGAAGAGGAGAGUGGAACUCCAUGUGUAGCGGUGGAAUGCGUAGAUAUAUGGAAGAACACCAGUGGCGAAGGCGGCUCUCUGGUCUGCAACUGACGCUGAGGCUCGAAAGCAUGGGUAGCGAACAGGAUUAGAUACCCUGGUAGUCCAUGCCGUAAACGAUGAGUGCUAGGUGU